rnacentral:snRNA from 1 species
AGCUUUGUGUAGUGGCAGUAUCGUAGCCAAUGAGGUUUAUCCAAGGCGCGAUUAUUGCUGAUUGAUAACAGUUUUGGUAAGAGUGGUGAAAGUAAAGCUCACAGAGC